AUUGAACGCUGGCGGAAUGCUUUACACAUGCAAGUCGAGCGGCAGCGCGGGGGCAACCCUGGCGGCGAGCGGCGAACGGGUGAGUAACAUAUCGGAACGUACCCCGUCGUGGGGGAUAACACAGCGAAAGCUGUGCUAAUACCGCAUACGACCUGAGGGUGAAAGCGGGGGAUCGCAAGACCUCGCGCGAUGGGAGCGGCCGAUAUCGGAUUAGCUUGUUGGUGAGGUAAAGGCUCACCAAGGCGACGAUCCGUAGCUGGUCUGAGAGGACGACCAGCCACACUGGAACUGAGACACGGUCCAGACUCCUACGGGAGGCAGCAGUGGGGAAUUUUGGACAAUGGGGGCAACCCUGAUCCAGCCAUUCCGCGUGAGUGAAGAAGGCCUCGGUUGGUAAG
rnacentral:rRNA from 1 species